GGAAAACUUGUUCGCAGUUAUUUCAGGCUCCGUCCGUACCUUCUGGCUCUCUCUCUCUCUCCUAAAACCUCCAAAACCCUUUACAAUCACCAAACGAGGGAGGAGGACAGCAGCUUCUAGAGAGAGAGAUCAAAAUGAGCGGCUCCUUCUUGAGAAAAUCCAGCAUCCACAGGCUGUUACGCAGCCACACGAUUACCGAUACCGGACUAGACCCGUCGACGACAGCGACGGCAAUUUAUUCGAUUAUGAAACACCAGACGACGCAGUCGAGGGUUUAUUUUCGUUUCCCUCAAAUUUUCAGGAAAUCUAGAGAGUUUAAUGAGCUUUCUCCUCCCUUUUUCACCUCUCCUUCAUCCUGUUCUUCUUCAUCGUCUUACUCUUCAUCGAAUGCAGCGGCGUCGUUUGUUGGAUGGUACUUGGCGAUGGUGAAGUCUCGGCCUAUUUUGACAAAGAGUGUCACAUCCUCGCUUAUUUAUGUUGCUGCUGACUUUUCAUCUCAGACAAUUGCACAGCCAGUUUCAGAACCUUAUGAUUUGGUGAGGACAUUGCGAAUGGCAGCAUAUGGUAUGCUCGUUCUAGGACCAACGCUGCAUUAUUGGUUCAACUUUGUGUCAAAACAAUUUCCAAAGCGAGAUUUAAUCACAACAUUUAAGAAAAUUAUCAUGGGGCAGACAAUCUAUGGACCUGCCAUGACAGCUCUUUUCUUCUCCUUGAACGCAUGCCUACAAGGUGAGCUUAAAUUUUUAGUUGCUGAUUUUUUUGAGUUUAGUUUUGGUUUCCAUAUUCUCAUUGUAUAUGAAGUUUAUUGGUAAUUUGGAAUAACCAUUGAAGUGAUUUUAUUUAUUUUUCAUUCAUUAUUACUAUCCACUAUCUUCCUUCGAAGCAAAUUAAUUUCACCCUUGUUGCAAAUAUUUUUAAUUGAUUACCGGAAAAUAUGACACUUGAAUAGUUUUUCCUUGUGUGAAUGACCACUAAGCACACUAGCAAACUAUUUACUGGUGUUAAUGGAAGUGUUUUAAUUUAUGUGAAUGAUAUUGUGAUCAAUAAUAGGAGUACUUUUAAUUUGAUAGUAAAGUUACUUGAGAAAGUUAGAAGUCACCUUUUGACUUGUUUCAUUCUUGAAGAAAUGCAAUGAAUGAAGGUGUAUUGCCAUAAUUCUUGGACUUAUAUUACUACUAUUACUAGGACUCUUUAGGACUUGUACCAAGUGAGACUGUGAGACCAUUGGUAGUCUCAUGGUCAUGGAGGAGAUCAUUAAGGCACCCUAACGGAAAAGCACCCUGUUUGAACUACAAUACAUGUGAGCUGAAGCACAUUUUAUGGUAAAAGUAACUUUCAUACAAUUUUGAACUUGAUCAUAUUUAGUUUGAGAAAGUAUGUCAACAUAUUUAGACUUGUCAAUUCAUGUCUAACCAUUACUUAUCUAUUAAACUGGUUACAUGAAUUGACUUUUCUUCAACCAAAUUUGUUUACCCUUCUGUUCUUACAAGCUAAGGCAUAGUUAUCCUCCACAGAAUAUUGCAUCAUCUUAAUGUACGCUAUUGUAAAAAUUUUUCACUGUUAAUUUUUAUGUGUUAUCAUGAUGGCCAAAUUAGGUGAGAACAGUAAUGAGAUUAUUGCCCGGUUAAAGCGGGAUUUGUUGCCGACGAUGAUGAAUGGUGUCAUGUACUGGCCCAUAUGUGAUUUUAUUACUUUCAAAUUCAUUCCUGUCCAUUUACAGCCAUUGGUGAGCAAUUCUUUUUCAUAUCUAUGGACUGUCUACAUGACAUAUAUGGCAAGUUUGGAUAAAGUGAGCACUAACACUAACAGCCAAUUUGCUUAAAUGCUUCCGGGUUUUACCUCCAACCACACUGCAAUGCACUGGUGGAUGACAAUUUUAAACUAAACCGGGCAUGUCUUGCGCCAAAAUGCUGUUAUUUCAUCAGCGGUGGGAGCUCGGUUGAACUUAAUGGUUAAAUCAUUCUCAAAUAUAGCUGAGGGGCAACAAUUUUGGAUGGAUUUUCUGUAAAGCAAAGCUUAAUAUUAUUGGAGACAUUUUUCUUAGUGAAGGAGUUGAUCCAUCUGAAGUUGUUUGCACAAUCUGAAAAAGAUUAUCAUGUAAUGUAAAACUAAAAGACUGGAUUAGAUGACUGCAAUUUAUUUAUAGCUUAAUUUUCUGAAUCCUAUACAUUACCAGUAUGAACAGAAAAAUAAUUAAGACAGCAUUUUCUCCUAUCAAGUGAAUCUCCUCAUUUUCAUCUACAAUGAUACUUUCUGAUACAAUUACUUUUAAAGCCAAUUGAAGAACGCAAUAGAAGAACACAAUAGGACCUUCUGUGAAUCCAGGGUAUCUAAGAAAGAAUAUGUUCAACCUGGAAUCACCAUCAGAUCUGCAUUUUAUUACCAAGUGUAGCCAAGUCCUCCGUCACGGGGAUGCCUGUGAAGAACUUCAAUGAAACAGUAACUUUUUUUCUAAUUCAAAUUGCUAACAUUCCAAGCCAAAACAUGAUUACAUCAAGGCUCACAAUAAUUUCUUUAUCACCCCAGGCCAAAAGGAAAGAAUAUGUCAUAACAGAAAAAGAACUCAGAUAUUGAUUGUUUCAAACUAGUAUGGAACAUGUAGAUAUCAUGGAGGAAUAAGCAUCAAAUUAGAAUUAUGUCAAAAAUAAAAAAGAAAAUAUUCCAGAUUAAGGUCUAACUUUUAAAUAUGAUAUAACAAUAGCAGACAGGACCAAGAACCAGAACCACCAUUCUAAAAUCCAAGUUUGUUUUUAUUUCAUGGAUAACUCGGUACACUAGAGGCAUGCAAAGAAAUAGAAAAUCAGAUACUAAUGAAGAAUGGAGUAAAUUUCCUAAAAUAGUAAGCUCCUACCUUUAUCUAUUUUUUACAUUUUACUGUAUAAACAUGUAUCCCUUCAACGAUCAUCUCUUCAGGCAUUUAAAGAAGACCUCGUUACCGGAUCUAAAAUUUCUACAGCUACAAUUUAUUCCUUUUGGAAAUGCUUUUAACACCCCAUAAUGAGUGGAGAGCAAAAUUGAUGUGAUUGAUUCAAAAUUCUGAAUCAUCAAUUUAAUGUGAAGAACCGAUAUCCCACUUAAUCAACCGCUGAAUUCCGAGUAAUUGCUAUUAAGAUAUUUAUCACUCUUCAGAAGUGUGCAAUGAAAUUUUCUCUAGUAAUGUUGCCCAAUCUCCCCCCAGUAUUUGGGGAUUUGACUCCAUUGCAACUUGAAAAUCCAACAUGGAUGCAUAAACAGAUUCCUUCAGUCUUUGCAUGCAUCUCCCAGGUAACAUCCCAUUUGAACCAGAUGUGAACUGCUCAUUAACCUCUUUCAAGUGAUCAGUUCCACAGCGCGAGCUAGCUAAGCCCAUACAUGGCUCGAUUAACCUCUUCAAAUACAUGUCCAACCCAUUAUUCAACAAGUUAACACAGUCCACCGACACACUAAUACCCUCCAUCUCCAACUUCUGCUCCAAACGACUUCUUAAUGAUCUUGUGUCAGGCAGCUCACCAGUGUGUAGGCAAGUCUCUUGAAGGUGACUACCACAUAUAGAAACAUUUGAAAGAGUUUUACGAGCUCCACCUAAAUUCACGGAAACACCAAGAGGAGCAGUAACUGGGCUCCUACUUUGAACACCUGGGCUCCCUGCCACCUGCUCAACCUCUUCCCCCUCUUCCACGGAAGCAACUUCAACUGGAGGUCUACUACCAAGUGAAAGCAGUUCGGUAGCACUUUGCUGUUCUUGUGCUCUUGAAUUCAAUUCCUCACACACAACACUUUGGGGCUUCCCAAGUGGCCCAAGAGGACUUGGGCGGUCCCUGAAUUUGCGAUCUCGAUUAACAGGAGACCUGCCCUUCCUUGGGGAAGGUGGAAAGGCAUCCCCAUAAAGCGACUGAAGACAAUUUCUCUGGUACCCAUUUGCAGUUUUAACAUUAAGACUACUUCCCACUCUUUUAAUACCUUUUGAUGGGGGAACUUUAGCAAGGUAAGCAUUCUUGAUGAUUGAUCGAAUAAGGCGGUUGUGAAGAGGGAUAUUUUCUCUACCAAUAAUCUUAAUACAAAACUUAUCAAAUUCAGACUUUGUUAUCUUAAAGCUAAACAAUCUUGUCAGCUGAUCAAAGUACUUAUCUGCUCUUUCGUGCCCAAUCUUUUUAAUAAUCAAAGUUUUGAGCUCUAAAGUAUCGAUUCGAGUAUAGCUUUGAUUAGACAACAUCGUUUCACUUCCCCAAAGUUACUUAAAUUCACCAAAUGCGAAUGCUCAUUGACAUAUGGAAGUUUCAAGCAAAACCCAGAUCAUAUAAACACCUUCCUCCGAUGUCCUAAUUCCAAAACCUAAAACCCUAAAUCCCACAACACGGUUUCCAUCAAAGCGGCAAAAGGGUUUCCUUUUUCGUGCGCUUUUCUGCUACCAUGUAUGGCUUUUCUGGCGAUCGAUGCCUUGUCUGGUUGCUUGCUUGUUUUUGGUGGUAUUCGUGUGUGUAGAGGAAGAGAUCAAAUUGUAAGGUCUUUUUGGGCCUCUAGGAUUUGCUUUUAGGACACAACUCAG
rnacentral:misc_RNA from 1 species